ensembl:lncRNA
ACAGCAGUAGAUCACCCUAGGUGAUGGGCCUUAAGAUACAGCACCCCCCCCCAUCAGUAGUCAGCAGUUGAUCACCCUAGGUGUUGGGCCUUAAGGUACCCAUCAGUACAGACAGCAGUAGAUCACCCUAGGUGUUGGGCAUUAAGAUACAGCACCCCCCAUCAGUACAGACAUCAGUAGAUCACCCUAGGUGUUGGGCCUUAAGGUACAGCACCCCCCCCAUCAGUACAGACAGCAGUAGAUCACCCUAGGUGAUGGGCCUUAAGGUACAGCACCCCCAUCAGUACAGACAGCAGUAGAUCACCCUAGGUGUUGGGCCUUAAGGUACAGCACCCCCAUCAGUACAGACAGCAGUAGAUCACCCUAGGUGUUGGGCCUUAAGGUACAGCACCCCCAUCAGUACAGACAGCAGUAGAUCCAGAUCCACUGAGAAAAGACAAAACUCUCAUGAGCAGAUUUGUCUCUCCCCC